rnacentral:rRNA from 1 species
UCCAGAGAACUUUCCAGAGAUGGAUUGGUGCCUUCGGGAACUCUGAGACAGGUGCUGCAUGGCUGUCGUCAGCUCGUGUUGUGAAAUGUUGGGUUAAGUCCCGCAACGAGCGCAACCCUUAUCCUUUGUUGCCAGCGGUUAGCCGGGAACUCAAAGGAGACUGCCAGUGAUAAACUGGAGGAAGGUGGGGAUGACGUCAAGUCAUCAUGGCCCUUACGAGUAGGGCUACACACGUGCUACAAUGGCGCAUACAAAGAGAAGCGACCUCGCGAGAGCAAGCGGACCUCAUAAAGUGCGUCGUAGUCCGGAUUGGAGUCUGCAACUCGACUCCAUGAAGUCGGAAUCGCUAGUAAUCGUGGAUCAGAAUGCCACGGUGAAUACGUUCCCGGGCCUUGUACACACCGCCCGUCACACCAUGGGAGUGGGUUGCAAAAGAAGUAGGUAGCUUAACCUUCGGGAGGGCGCUUACCACUUUGUGAUUCAUGACUGGGGUGAAGUCGUAACAAGGUAGGCGUAGUGCU